UUCGCGCCAUUCCAUCUACGUCAUAAACGCGCCAUUUCACUAGGUUCAAGGAUUUUGAGCAUACUAAUACCGUCCUAUGGCACCUACAGGAGCCAAGAGGAAAUAAGGGCACUCUCAACAGUACUGGAAAGACACAUGAAUAAGACUUCUAUAGCACUUUCCGAAAUGCAAAGGGAAGUAAAUGACAUCAAACACAUGGUACUACAAAAUAGAAUGGCUCUGGACCUCGUUCUGGCCUCACAAGGCGGGGUAUGCAAGAUAAUCAACACUGAAUGUUGCGCUUACAUCUCCGAUGCAACAUCAUCAGUUUAUGAUGUGGUGGCAGACACAGAGCAAGGCAUUAAGGAAUUGCAUGAGGACCACGGCUGGAAUCCUUUUGGGGAAAUGCAGGCAUGGGUUGGAUCAUGGGGAACUUCUCUUCUCAAAGGACUGCUAUGGAUGUUGGGGGGUAUCUUUUUGUCUGUAAUUAUCAUAACCCUACUUGUAACUGUUCUUAAGAUCUGUGUAAGGAAGGUUGUUAGUACACAUGUAUCAGUUGAACACACAAGUACUACUAUACAGUGUCCGGUUCAGGAAUGGACUCCACCAUAUCCGGAUAGCUCUGACAGUGAUGAUGAGUGUGAGGCUUGUGUGUAAUGUAUGUGUUGAUGUUUAGCGAUAGUUUUCAAAGUACUUAGAAGUUAAUGAUGUGAUGUUCUGAAUCUUCGUGAAUUUACACCACUGAUGUAUGUUCUAAGAGUUUUGUUGUUUAAUUUUCUUUCUUAAUUUCGAUUUGGUUGUGUUUAGAGUUUCUUAAGUUGAUUCCUGAUUGUCAAAAAAUGACAAAAAGAGAGGGAUGUUGGGGGAGAAUUGUUGAGCCCGCAUAGGGUGAGGCUCUCAGGAAUGUUACCUUUGAUGUGAGCCGGUGACUUAAGGCAGUCCAGGGUGAGAUAAGACACGGAUGAAAACAUGCGUGCCCUGACUGACCUUUUAGAUGUUGUUGGUUGUCUGGGACCAUAAAGGGAGGGUCACAGGGUCACCCCUACAUCAUCUGUUACUUUUCCUACAUUCCUCUUGAGGGGUGGGUUGUCCUGUCCUGAGGCAGCACAAACCCCCCCAAGUGUAUAAAACCUCCUGUACUCCUCUUUGACUUGGUCAGAUCUUCCUGCUCCUCUUGGGGGAAGGAACCUCUGUCCCUUUUCAGCUGAAUUGUGGUCAUUUGACUUCUGUCUGUACUUACGGCUUGUGUUGAUGAUUUCUGUAUUCUUAUGAUUUUUCCUAUAUUCUAGUUAGUAAAAUACUUAAUCAUAAGCGAGUCUCUGAUACUUUUGAUUUCUCACAAGGGCUGAAUCCCCAAAUUUCCACCACAU
ensembl:lncRNA